rnacentral:rRNA from 1 species
UACGGGGGGGGCAAGCGUUGUUCGGAAUUACUGGGCGUAAAGGGCUCGUAGGCGGCCAAGUAAGUCAGACGUGAAAUCCCCAGGCUCAACCUGGGAACUGCGUCUGAUACUGGAUGGCUUGAAUCCGGGAGAGGGAUGCAGAAUUCCAGGUGUAGCGGUGAAAUGCGUAGAUAUCUGGAGGAAUACCGGUGGCGAAGGCGGCAUCCUGGACCGGCAUUGACGCUGAGGAGCGAAAGCCAGGGGAGCAAACGGG